rnacentral:lncRNA from 1 species
AAAAAACGGAAACAGACAUCUUUUUUUGGGAAGUGGCGCGACAAAUUAUUUUUUUCAAAUUUAACAUUAUUUUUUAUGGUAAAUAUCCUCUGUCAAAAUUUUUUUUCUCCCUUUGCUGGCCAAAUUAUUUAUUUUCUCUAUUCAGAAUCAACAUAUUUAUUUACGAAAAAAAACAUGCCCCCCCCCCCCCCCCCCCAAUUGCAAGUUAAUUGGUCCGUCCCUUAGUUUAGUCCGAUUGUAUUCAAACUGACGAAAAGGUCAGUCAUUCGAUUUUUUGGCCUUCGCAAUAAGGUAAUAUGUCCCGGGAUAUUGAAUUUAUGUCAGUUUUCAAAUUUCUUAUGAAAAUGAGAUGAAAUAAUGAAUUUAUUUUUCUUUCAAACCAAACCCCCAAUAAGGUUCUCGUAUUGCUUAUCUUUUUUUAAAAGAUAGCAACCUGUUUUAAUUACGGAGUGCAGGACUCCUCCAAAUACGCGCCUGAAUACAGUGUUUUUACUUUUAAAAUUGCAUUAAGACAGUACAUAUUCCAACUUGUUUGAGCACGCC